CUGCUUUUACGAACAGGUAAUUUAUAUCUUUCACAGCCAGUUUGACCCGUUCUUUAGUGUGAACACAGGUGCUAUCCAGAAGGUUAUCUAGGACUGUUGGUAUUGUUUGGCUGCCUGCUGCUUUCUGGUAUUUCUGUGUGCUGUGUUCAGUCCAUCUGUAUGGUUUCUGAUGUGGUACAGCUUACUGGGUUGUGUGCUGAUAGCAGUAUUAGUUCUUUCUGAGAUACACAGUGAUAUUCUGUGAUCAGACAGGAGGCUUAGGGUUAGGGUUAGGGUUAGAGAUGGGGUUAGUGUUAGGGUUAGAGAUGGGGUUAGUGUUAGGGUUAGAGAUGGGGUUAGUGUUAGUGUUAGAGAUGGGGUUAGUGUUAGGGUUAGAGAUGGGUUUAGAGUUAGGGUUAGAGAUGGGGUUAAUGUUAGGGUUAGAGAAGGGGUUAGAGAUGGUGUUAGAGUUGGGGUUAGUGUUAGGGUUAG
ensembl:lncRNA